UACAGGGGGGGCAAGCGUUGCUCGGAAUUACUGGGCGUAAAGGGCUCGUAGGCGGCCAACUAAGUCAGACGUGAAAUCCCUCGGCUUAACCGGGGAACUGCGUCUGAUACUGGAUGGCUUGAGUUCGGGAGAGGGAUGCGGAAUUCCAGGUGUAGCGGUGAAAUGCGUAGAUAUCGAGAGGAACACCGGCGGCGAAGGCGGCCAACUGGACGAAUACUGACGCUGAGACACGAAAGCGUGGGGAGCAAACAGG
rnacentral:rRNA from 1 species